rnacentral:lncRNA from 1 species
UCUGGGGGCAGGGCGGGGUGGCUCACACCUGUAAUCCCAACUACUCGGGAGGCAGAGGCGGGAGGAUCACGUGAGCCCAGGAGUUGGAGACCACCCUGGGCAACAGAGCGAGACCCAGACACUACAAAAAAUAUAAAAAUUAGCCGGGAGAUUGUAGUCCCAGGUACUCGGUAGGCUGAGGCGGGAGGGUUUGAGCCCAAGAGGUCGAGGCUGCAUUGAGCCCAGAUGGCGCCACUGCACACCAGCCUGGGAGACAAAGCAAGACCCUGUCUCAAAAAGAAAAAGAAAAACAAAAACCAGUAUGGGAUGUUCCUGUUAGGCAACUAAGGGUGAAAAAUCAAAGCACGACGCAUAGCUUCUCACAGAUUCUGGUGUGCGUGCCACACCAGAGAAUAAGGAACUCCAUAGCCUGAAAGGGAACUGAAUAAAAAUAAAUAUAAAAGAGAAUAAGAAA